rnacentral:rRNA from 1 species
GCUUGUCUCAAAGAUUAAGCCAUGCAUGUCUAAGUAUGAAUGUUAUACAGUGAAACUGCGAAUGGCUCAUUAAAACAGUUAUUGUUUAUUUGAUAAUCAAAUUUACAUGGAUAACCGUGGUAAUUCUAGAGCUAAUACAUGCUGAUAUGCCUGACUCUUAGGAAGGGCUGUAUUUAUUAGAUAACAAACCAAUAUUCCUCGUGUCUAUUGUGAUGACUCAUAAUAACUGAUCGAAUCGCAUGGACUUUGUCCGCGAUACAUCAUUCAAGUUUCUGCCCCAUCAGCUUUCGAUGGUAGUGUAUUGGACUACCAUGGCUUUAACGGGUAACGGAGGAUUAGGGUUCGAUUCCGGAGAGGGAGCCUGAGAAACGGCUACCACAUCUAAGGAAGGCAGCAGGCGCGUAAAUUACCCAAUCCUAAUUCAGGGAGGUAGUGACAAGAAAUAACGGACUGAGGCCUACGCUUCAGGAUUGCAAUGAGUAGAAUUAAACCCCUUGCGAGAU